UGAAGGACUGCUGGACCCAGGCCGAGAAAUUGGGGGGGGGGGGCAAGGCCGUGAUCCCCGUAGAGGGGAAGCCCUCGUGAGCCUGGCUCCGCUGCCGAGGCUGCCCAAGCCCAGUAGGGAGCAGGCUGUCUCCCUUCCUGCCAGCCCCGAGGGGCUGGGAGGAUCCUAGCAGGGAGGAUGCCCCGGACAACGGACCUCCCGGACUUCACCCUGUGCACCGGCCUUCUCAAACCGCCUUUGAUGUUCUCAUUCUCUUGAGUUGUAGCAGACCAAGGAUCCCCCAGGAUGCCCAGAUGAGGCCGAUUGGGUUUCCAACCGCUAAUUGACGCAGGAGCUUUGAAUUCUAAACUGCCAAGGAAUUUGACAUAUCAGUGCAGGCCUUUGGGCAGAUACCUACCUGAUCAACUUAAGCAGAUGCAGCUCAGAACUCCUGAGCACCAGUGAUCUACCAGCCUUAGCCUUCCUGGCAAUAGAGAUUAUAGGGGUGUGCCCCCACACCUGGUUAUAA